CCGAGGAAGCCCCUGAACAAGAGGAACGUGAUUCUGCACUGCUACCCACUUGAGGAAGCCUCUACUGAGGAGGCUGAGGAAGACCCCAAGCCGCUAGGAACCAGAACCUGAGGUUGGCUGAUGCUCCCUGGUUUCCUACUCCAUCUGUUCAAUGGCACCAUGGUGGAGCUUGUGCUGGAGAUACAGACUGAGGAAGCAGAUAGACCUCCUGUUUAUCAUCAUCACAGUUCAUCAGCAUCUACGGAAUUCACUUCAGUAGGUCACUGGUACCAAACAGUACGCCAGCAGGCUUCCCACCACCACCUCCAUACAAGCAGUUCUGACAAUCAACAUGGGAUGGAAAAUAAUCAGCUAAAUGUAUUUGUCAACCAGCAAUGGGCAGCCAUGAUUUUGACAAGUUAAGGAAGCUGGCAAGAUUCCUCUUUUUAGCCUUACAGCCCAGCUGUAACACUGAACCACAGACACGGUCGCAUGGAGACUGAACAAUCAAAG